GCAGCCUGGGGUGGGUGGGGGGCAGCUUCCCAGUAAGACAGCCCUGCACAGAAGGAAAGGUCCAAUGAUCUCAUUUGUCUCCCUCAUGGGAAAAUAAAUGGUCGCCCAAGGAGGAGUUGGGCCUUCUGGAGCCCCUGGUUGGUGCCCACCAAUCACAGCACUGCACCCAGCCGCUAACCCAGACCAUGAGGCCGAGCACCCAGCCCCCAGCACCCAGGGCCCAGGGACGAGCUGGGUUAGGGUCUGAGGGUGUCAAAGACAGACGCAGGCCUUGGACCUUGUCCUUUGGGGCCAGGGCCCCUGGUCUCGGCUGCCUGUCCAAGGAGGACCUGCUCAGUGGGCUCUGGGCAUUUAGGACUGUUGGCUGUCAGGAGUCGCCGUGUCCCAGCAUGCUCAGCAGUGUCCCUGACCUCCUCCCACCAGACACCAUGGUUCUCCUGGGGCGUGGCAGCCCAGAGUGUCAGCAGACAUUCCAAGGUCCCUGGGGGCAGAGCAGCCCACCGAGACACACUGGUCUAAGUUAGGAGGUUCGGAGUUUUCAGGGUAAAGGACCCAGGCGUGUGGUCCCCAGGACAUGGCCUGGUGGCCCAGCUCACGCAGGACCAGGGUAAGGCAUAGUCUUAAAGAAUCAGAAGAAGAAAAGUCCGAUCAAGCAACUUCUUAUUAGGUGACACGGCCUUUGCUGACUCUGGUCCCACUGUUGGCCAUGCCUAGUUGUAAGGGAGGUCAGGAAUGGGCUGGGCUGCGCUGCUGGCUGGGACCGGCUAGCACUGUCCCCAGGAAGGAAGGACGAUGGAGGACAGCUGGCAGUCCCUGGCCUGCUCAGCUGUGGUCCCCCCGCGGUCCUCUGCACUCUCCCGCCUGGCACCCCUCAUGUGACCCUCGUGCUCCUGGUCUAGGAGGUGUGGUCCUGCCCCUCAGCUUGGUGCAGGACACCUGGCAGCACUGACCAGCAAGGCCUCCCACUUGUACCCUCUGAUCCAGACAAACUGCCCGCAUUGUUCACUGGACUUGUGUG
rnacentral:lncRNA from 1 species